CAGUCGACGAGGUAUUUUGAUUGAAGUUUUCGGAUGGAUUUCAGAUACCGAGUGGCGGACGGGUGAGUAACGCGUGGGUAACCUGCCUCAUACAGGGGGAUAACGGUUAGAAAUGACUGCUAAUACCGCAUAAGCGCACAGUACCGCAUGGUACGGUGUGAAAAACUCCGGUGGUAUGAGAUGGACCCGCGUCUGAUUAGCUGGUUGGUGGGGUAACGGCCCACCAAGGCGACGAUCAGUAGCCGACCUGAGAGGGUGACCGGCCACAUUGGGACUGAGACACGGCCCAGACUCCUACGGGAGGCAGCAGUGGGGGAUAUUGCACAAUGGAGGAAACUCUGAUGCAGCGACGCCGCGUGAGUGAAGAAGUAUUUCGGUAUGUAAAGCUCUAUCAGCAGGGAAGAAAAUGACGGUACCUGACUAAGAAGCCCCGGCUAACUACGUGCCAGCAGCCGCGGUAAUACGUAGGGGGCAAGCGUUAUCCGGAUUUACUGGGUGUAAAGGGAGCGUAGACGGCGACGCAAGUCUGAAGUGAAAUACCCGGGCUCAACCUGGGAACUGCUUUGGAAACUGUGUUGCUAGAGUGCUGGAGAGGUAAGCGGAAUUCCUAGUGUAGCGGUGAAAUGCGUAGAUAUUAGGAAGAACACCAGUGGCGAAGGCGGCUUACUGGACAGUAACUGACGUUGAGGCUCGAAAGCGUGNGGAGCAANCAGGAUUAGAUACCCUGGUAGU
rnacentral:rRNA from 1 species